rnacentral:rRNA from 1 species
UCAACCGAGAUUCCCCCAGUAGCGGCGAGCGAACGGGGAGGAGCCCAGAGCCUGAAUCAGCAUGUGUGUUAGUGGAAGCGUCUGGAAAGGCGCGCGAUACAGGGUGACAGCCCCGUACACAAAAGCGCAUGUGCUGUGAGCUCGAUGAGUAGGGCGGGACACGUGGUAUCCUGUCUGAAUAUGGGGGGACCAUCCUCCAAGGCUAAAUACUCCUGACUGACCGAUAGUGAACCAGUACCGUGAGGGAAAGGCGAAAAGAACCCCGGCGAGGGGAGUGAAAAAGAACCUGAAACCGUGUACGUACAAGCAGUGGGAGCACAGGUUUACCUGUGUGACUGCGUACCUUUUGUAUAAUGGGUCAGCGACUUAUAUUCUGUAGCAAGGUUAACCGAAUAGGGGAGCCGGAGGGAAACCGAGUCUUAAUUGGGCGUUAAGUUGCAGGGUAUAGACCCGAAACCCGGUGAUCUAGCCAUGGGCAGGUUGAAGGUUGGGUAACACUAACUGGAGGACCGAACCGACUAAUGUUGAAAAAUUAGCGGAUGACCUGUGGCUGGGGGUGAAAGGCCAAUCAAACCGGGAGAUAGCUGGUUCUCCCCGAAAGCUAUUUAGGUAGCGCCUCGUGAAUUCAUCUCCGGGGGUAGAGCACUGUUUCGGCUAGGGGGCCAUCCCGGCUUACCAACCCGAUGCAAACUGCGAAUACCGGAGAAUGUUAUCACGGGAGACACACGGCGGGUGCUAACGUCCGUCGUGAAGAGGGAAACAACCCAGACCGCCAGCUAAGGUCCCAAAGUCAUGGUUAAGUGGGAAACGAUGUGGGAAGGCCCAGACAGCCAGGAUGUUGGCUUAGAAGCAGCCAUCAUUUAAAGAAAGCGUAAUAGCUCACUGGUCGAGUCGGCCUGCGCGGAAGAUGUAACGGGGCUAAACCAUGCACCGAAGCUGCGGCAGCGAC